AUGGCUCCUCAAGUUUUUCGCACCCAAUCUCUGGUUCCUCCGUUGCACCAUGAACUCUUUCUUCUCUACACCAUCCUCAUAUUUCUGUCCUCCAACACAAUAGUAUUCACAUCAGCACAAGCUAGCAACAGAUCUGAGAGUGACCGGCAAGCCCUUCUCUGCUUCAAAUCUGGCAUCUCCAAGGGAUCUGCCCGUGUUCUUGGAUCAUGGCGCAAUGACUCGCUCAACUUCUGCGGCUGGCGAGGGGUCACCUGCAGCACCACCCUCCCAAUCCGCGUCGUGUCCCUCCAACUCAGGUCUACGCUGCUCACAGGAACACUAUGCAGUUGCAUGGCAGCCCUUAAUUCUCUAGUUCAGUUGGACCUUUGGAACAAUAAGUUAUCUGGAAGCGUACCUGAAGAGAUAGGUGAGCUUCGGAGCCUCCAAACCCUGAUGCUUGCUGGCAACAGGCUUUCAGGUAACAUCCCUCUGUCAUUAGGUACAGCUGCAUCUCUUAGAUCUGUCAACCUUGCAAACAAUUCUCUUAGCGGAGCUAUUCCUGAUUCCUUAGCAAAUAGUUCGUCACUUAGUGAGAUAAUCCUCUCACGUAAUAACUUAUCUGGGGGGAUCCCAGCCAAUUUGUUCAACUCAUCCAAACUUGCUGCUGUUGACCUCCGGUCGAAUGCUCUCUCUGGGGCUAUCCCACAUUUCCAAAAGACGUCAGCUCUGCAGUUUCUCGAUCUUACAGGGAAUUCACUUUCUGGCACCAUACCAGCAUCUUUAGGAAAUGCCUCAUCCUUGCGUUCACUCCUGCUAGCACAGAACAAGUUAGCAGGAUCAAUUCCGGAAACUAUCGGUCAAAUUCCAAAUCUAAAAAGGGUAGAUCUAAGUAAUAACAUGUUCUCGGGGUAUGUCCCAGCUACCUUGUACAAUGUGUCAUCACUCACAUUCUUUAGCCUAGGCAGCAACAAAUUUACUGGACAGCUACCUUAUGACAUUGGCCACUCACUUCCAAACCUCGAAACAUUAGCAAUGGGACUCAACAAAUUUCGUGGAUCAGUCCCGGAUUCCCUGACCAACAUGUCAAAGCUCCAAGUGCUUGAUAUUUCAAGCAACUUGCUUACUGGCGUAGUGCCAUCUCUAGGAUCCUUGGCAAACUUGAGUCAACUGCUUCUAGGAGAUAAUAAACUCGAAGCUGAUGACUGGGCCUUCCUUACCUCUCUGACCAAUUGCACUCAGUUGUUAAUAUUAUCAAUGGAUGGAAAUAUCCUGAAUGGAAGUUUGCCAAAAGCAGUAGGCAAACUUUCAACAAAGCUUCAGCGGUUAAGCUUUGGAAGAAACCAAAUUUCUGGAAACAUACCAGCUGAGAUAGGGAAGCUUGUAAGUCUCGCUCUGCUUGACAUGGGCCGGAACAUGCUCUCAGGACCAAUUCCCCUGACAGUUUGGAACUUGAGCAAUUUGGUUGUCCUAAAACUUUCCAUGAAUAGGUUGUCAGGUCAGAUUCCAUCAACAGUGGGUAAUCUUGUUCAACUCAGCCAGCUUCAUCUUGAUGAUAAUGAAUUGUCUGGAAACAUACCAGAAAAUAUAGGACAAUGCAAAAGGCUGCUUAUGCUAAACAUGUCAGUUAACCACCUUAAUGGAUCCAUACCAAGAGAACUCUUCAGUAUUUCCUCCCUUUCAUUGGGCUUGGACUUGUCAAACAACAACCUGACUGGGCCAAUACCAUGGGAAGUUAGUAACCUGAUCAAUCUUGGUCUCCUUGAUGUUUCCAACAACAGAUUAUCUGGUAGCCUUCCUUCUGAACUUGGCCUGUGUGUUCAACUGCUAUCCCUUCAGAUCAGAAGCAACAUGCUUAACGGGAGUAUUCCCGAGUCUUUCAGCAAACUGAAGGUCAUACAGCAGAUAGAUCUGUCCGAGAACAAUUUAACUGGUCAAGUUCCACAGUAUUUUGUGAACUUCAGCAGCUUAAAUUAUAUUAAUAUAUCAUACAAUAAAUUUGAAGGGCCAAUCCCGACUGGUGGCAUAUUUCGAAAUUCAGCUGCAGUAUUCCUGCAAGGCAACACAGGCUUAUGUGAAACAGCUGCUGCCAUAUUUGGAUUGCCCAUUUGCCCAACCUCCUCAGCAACAAGAAGGAAGAUCAACGCACGCCUGCUGCUGAUAAUAGCUCCACCAAUUACUAUUGCCGUGAUCUCAUUAUUAUGUGUUGUUGUCACUAUUACGAAGGGAACUAAAGCUCAACCAUCUGAAAGCUUCAAGGAGACAAUGAGGAGGGUGUCAUAUGGAGACAUCCUUAAAGCCACCAAUUGGUUUUCUCUGGUCAACCGGAUCAGUUCAAGUCAUACAGCAUCCGUCUACAUUGGCCGGUUUGAGUUCGAGACAGACCUAGUGGCCAUCAAGGUAUUCCAUCUCAGUGAGCAAGGUUCAAGAAAUAGCUUUUUCACUGAGUGCGAAGUGCUAAAACACACUCGCCACCGCAAUUUGGUUCAAGCUAUCACUCUGUGCUCAACGGUAGAUUUUGAGGGUGAAGAAUUAAAGGCCAUAGUAUAUGAGUUCAUGGCAAACGGUAGCCUGGACAUGUGGAUACACCCAAGGGUGGGUAGCUCAAGGAGGCUGCUGAGCUUGGGCCAGCGGAUAAGUAUUGCUGCUGAUGUGGCUUCUGCUCUGGACUAUAUGCACAACCAGCUGACACCUCCUUUGAUCCACUGCGAUUUGAAGCCUGGCAAUGUUCUGCUGGACUACGACAUGACCUCACGCAUCGGUGACUUCGGGUCCACCAAGUUUCUCUCUUCAAGUAGUGGCGGACCAGAAGGCUUGAUUGGCGUCGGAGGAACGAUUGGAUAUAUUGCACCUGAAUACGGGAUGGGAUGCAAAAUCUCAACAGCUGGUGAUGUGUAUGGUUUCGGGGUGCUGCUACUGGAGAUGCUCACGGCGAGGCGACCGACGGACGCGCUAUGUGGUAACGCUCUCAGCCUUCACAAGUAUGUUGACCUAGCUUUCCCCGACAGAAUUGCUGAGGUUCUAGAUCCCCAUAUGCCAUCUGAGGAGGACGAGGCGGCUGCAUCUCUACGUGUUCAGAAGUACAUUAUACCUCUGGUCAGCAUUGGCCUGAUGUGUACCAUGGAAUCGCCGAAAGAUAGACCAGGAAUGCAUGAUGUCUGUGCUAAAAUUGUUGCCAUAAAAGAGGCAUUUGUUGAGACCUUGUGA
rnacentral:rRNA from 1 species